rnacentral:rRNA from 1 species
UAUUUUGACUAUACAAAGGUAUUGUAAUAAGAUUUUAAUUGAAUGCUAAAAGAAUGGAAAUUUAAAAAAAAACUUUUUUAAAAAUAAAAAUUGAAUUUUUUUUAAUUUGUGCAAAAACAAUUAUUAUUAUUAAAGACAAGAAGACCCUAAGAAUUUAUGAUUUUGUAAUUAAAAGUUUUUUUUAAAAAAUCUUGAUUGGGGCGAUCAAAAAAUAUUAAUAACUUUUUAAAUUUAAAUUGAUCUAUUAUUAAUAAACUAAUGAAUUAAAUACUCUAGGGAUAACAGCGUAAUAAUUUUUGAUAGAUCUUAUUGACAAAAUAGUUUGCGACCUCGAUGUUGGAUUAGGAUUCUUUUUUAAUGAAGAAGUUAAAAAAAGAAGUUUGUUCAACUUUUAAAUUCCU